rnacentral:tRNA from 1 species
GGUUCCUUAGCUCAGUUGGGAGAGCGCAUGCUUGACAGGCAUGAGGUCGCUGGUUCGAACCCAGUAGGAGCCA